rnacentral:lncRNA from 1 species
AGUAUUUACUGUUUUGACAGUCUAACUGGUUACACAGUUUCACUGUUGGACAGUUCUACUAUUUACUUUUGACAGUUUUACUGUAUGGCUCUGAUACCAACUUCGGCCCGGAUCUACAGUACUGUCUUUAUAAUCUUGCUAAUUGAAAAUUGAAUAUAUUUUGAUAUUCUGAAUUAUUUUGUAUAUGAUAGUGAAUAUGUAAUUUAUUUAUUACAAUAAGUAGGUAAAUACAAUAUUAUUAUAUUUAAGUAAUGCUUGCAAGAUCCUAUAAUAAUUAAGUACAAAUAAUAUGAAACAGAUAAAGGGAAUCACAUAAAUAUCUAUUACUAACCAUUGAGCAUAUGUAAAUUCUCUAACUUUUAUACUAAACAGUAUUUUGAAUUGCAUAAUAAAAUUUUCAUAAUAAACUUUUAUUGAUGACUUGUAACAUUUACAAUCCCACUAUUACAGAAAAUCACACUUUAAGCCCACUGUUACAAUAAUCAAACUAUUACAGAUUACAGAAAAAGCAUACUGUACAAUAUUCAGACUAUGACAGAAAACAAGAAAGAUAAACUUUAUUACAGAGAACAGAAAACAAAAGUCAGAAACCGAAAACAGAAAAUAAAGCAGAAGAUAGAAGAUAGAAGAGGAGAGGAUUAUGAGACUUACUGAGUGCAUAUACAAUAGCUGGAAAAUAAUUUCCAGUGUUCUGGACAAUAGGAAGGAAGGGUUUUAAUAUUGCAGUCACACAUAAAUAUAGAGAGAAAAGAUAUUGAACCUGAUCAAGGUGGCUUGUAUAUUUGAUUGCAUGAAGAG